UACGAAGGGGGCUAGCGUUGCUCGGAAUCACUGGGCGUAAAGGGUGCGUAGGCGGGUCUUUAAGUCAGAGGUGAAAUCCUGGAGCUCAACUCCAGAACUGCCUUUGAUACUGAGGAUCUUGAGUACGGGAGAGGUGAGUGGAACUGCGAGUGUAGAGGUGAAAAUUCGUAGAUAUUCGCAAGAACACCAGUGGCGAAGGCGGCUCACUGGCCCGUUACUGACGCUGAGGUGCGAAAGCGUGGGGAGCAAACAGG
rnacentral:rRNA from 1 species